rnacentral:rRNA from 1 species
GAUGAACGCUGGCGGCGUGCCUAAUACAUGCAAGUCGAACGAACGGACCAGAAGCUUGCGUCUCUGAUGUUAGCGGCGGACGGGAGAGUAACACGUGUAUAACCUACCUAUCAGACUGGGAUAACUUCGGGAAACCGGAUCUAAUACCGGAUGAUCUUUUGCACCGCAUUGUUCAAAAGUGAAAUACGGUCUUGCUGUCUGUUAUAGCUGGAUCCGCGCUGCAUUAGCUAGUUGGUAAGGUAACGGCGUAACAAGGCAACGAGGCAUAGCCGACCUGAGAGGGUGAUCGGACACCCUGGAUGUGAGACACGGUCCAGACACCUACGAGAGGCAGCAGUAGGGAAUCUUACGCAAGGGGGGAGAGCGUGACGUAGCAAAGCGGCGUGAGGGAUGAAGGAGCUCGGAUCGUAAAGCUCUGUUAUUAGGGAAGAACAGAUGUGUAAGUAACUGUGCAGAUAUUGACGGUACCGGGUCAGAAAGCCCCGGCUAACUACGUG